rnacentral:misc_RNA from 1 species
UUUCCGUAGGUGAACCUGCGGAAGGAUCAUUACUGAGUGAGGGCCCCUCGGGGUCCAACCUCCCACCCGUGUUUAACGAACCUUGUUGCUUCGGCGGGCCCGCCUCACGGCCGCCGGGGGGCAUUUGCCCCCGGGCCCGCGCUCGCCGAAGCCACCUGUGAACGCUGUCUGAAGUAUGCAGUCUGAGACAAUUAUUAAAUUAAUUAAAACUUUCAACAACGGAUCUCUUGGUUCCG